AUGGCUGCCCGAGGCCGUCAGAUCCAUCACCGUCGUCGUUCUUUUGGUCGAGGCAGUCGUCGUCCACGUGCUCCUCUUCACCACCACAGCUGGACGCUGGUGAGGCUAGCCUCCCCCUCCAAGCGCAGGAAACAGCUGUUCAUACAUCGCCAAUUAUGGAUAUGGAUCCAUCUUGCUGCGCUGGAUGAAGGGUUGGAUGGAACAAGAAUUGCUUCCUCUAGAGAUCGGGCUGGGCUUGACCGGGUUUUUGGAGUUCUCUUCUCGUUUCUUAGGAUCCUCAUGCUGUUUGACAAGGGGUUCCUUGCAAUGGGAAAUGUUCUCUUCGUCUCUGGUGUUCCGCUAACGAUUGGACUAAAGUCAACUUUCCAGUUCUUCACAAAGCCUAAGAAUCGCAAGGUCAUAUACAUGUAA
rnacentral:rRNA from 1 species